CUUAGCUCUCCCUUCCAGCUCAAUGCUUUCCUUACAGCUCAGUGUGUGGAGAAGAUGGUGCUAACUUCCCUGCCUGUGUGUCUCAAAGACAGUUGCCUUCCUCUCAGCACAGUCACUUCAUCUGCCUAAGCACACUUUUACAUCUCCUUCAGUAUUACAGUAAUGGAGAAACUCCCAGACUAAUAUGUCCACCCUAAUGUGUUAAAAUAGAAAAUGCCAUCUGGUUCUGCUUAGAGAAUGAUCUUGUGCCACAACACAAGUACCAAUGCUGACUCCUACUCCCUUGUGUGGCGUAAAAGGCUCAGGGCUUACAUACAGCAUCAAGGUCUUUUCUGCACCCAAUCGCACCAGGAAGAAGGCUGGAGGUGAACAAGGAGUUAGAAGAGGACAAAGCCGGGACAGCUGAUCCCAACUGGCCAAAGGGAUAUUCCAUACCCUAUGGCAUCAUGCUCAACAUAUAAUGCUGGGGGGAGAAGGAGGAAGGGGGUAUCUCUGGAGUUAUGGCAUUCAUCUUCCCC